rnacentral:rRNA from 1 species
AUGUGCCGCAGGCACUACCAGCACGAUGACGAUGGCAGCAGUGGGAGCAGCAGCGACGGCGACAGUGGCAGCAAAGAUGGCAGCAGCAACGGCGACGGUGGCGGCAACAGCAGCAGCAUGGCGGUGAUGGGGAUCGACGACGGGCCGGCGUCGCUGUUCACCGUCAUGCUGAGGGAGUGCAACCUGGGCGUGAGGCAGAAGCAGUACCUGAACGUGCCGGUGGAGUUCCAGAACGCGCACGGGUACGCGGAGAGGAGCAAGGUGGAGCUGCGGAUGCGCGGCAAGUCGUGGUUCGUGAACCUGAAGCACAGCCCCCGGAGCCGUGGCAGGCCCCGCGCGUCGCUCAGGUACGGGUGGCACCAGUUCUGCGUCGACAACGGCCUCGGCGUCGGCGACACCUGCUUCUUCCGAGCUCUUGGCGAAGGCAGCGCCGGCGAGGUCCACCUUCUCAAGGUGGAGGUGAGGAAGCGAGACGGCAGCUUCCUGGUCUGA